CCAGAAUCAGCAUCACCCUUUUCUGUCGAAUCUGGUCAAUUUAUAACAAACAAAUGAAACAUAAUGCGCUGAAAAAAUUAUAAUAAGAUUGCAUAUUUUGAAACCAA